rnacentral:misc_RNA from 2 species
AACGCACAUUGCGCCCUUUAGUAUUCUGAAGGGCAUGCCUGUUCGAGCGUCAUUAUCACUAAUCAAGCCUGGCUUGCUGUUGGACCUCUUGUCGUUAACAGACAGGUUCCAAAGAUAAUGACGGCGUCAAUUGGACCCUAGAUGCAACGAGCUUUCAUUAGCACGCAUGUUAGAAGCCUUUUGACCCGGUCUUUAACCAAUUUUCUCAGGUUGACCUCGGAUCAGGUAGGAAUACCCGCUGAACUUAA